CAUUCUUCCAUCACAUGUACAGCUGAUUCUCAAGAUCUUGUACACUAAUGAGAUGCUAUUGAACCCACACUACUACACUGUCUGAGCCAAGGACUACAUGCUUUCUGGAAAAUGCCACGGGCACUAUCUGAUGUGUGGAGACAUUUCACUGUAGCUAACGUAGAAGGAAAAGCAGUGUCAAUUUGUAAAUACUGUGCCAAAUCAUAUGUGAAGAAUGCAACAAAGAUGCAAAAUCAUCUGGCCAAGUGCAUAAAGUUCCCUCAGCGCUCACAACAAGCAACAACCUCUGACAAAAGUCCCUCUACUUCUAUUCGAGUAUUCUACAAGAGCACAGACCCAAGGGACAACAUACGCACCGGUCUCUACAUUGCAGAUGAGCUGAAGGCAGUCAUCAAUGACCUUGGACCACAGAAGGAGUUUGCACUGGGGACAGACAAUGCUGUGAACAUGAAGGCUGCUUGGUCUAAAGUGGGAGGAGUCCUUCCCUCACAUCACACCCAUUGGCUGUGCUGCUCAUGCAUUGAAUCUGCUCCUCAAGGACAUGAUGGCACUGAAAACAAUGGAUACACUCUACAAGAGAGCCAAGGAAAUGGUUAGGUAUGUGAAGGGUCAUCAAGAUAUAGCAGC
ensembl:lncRNA